GACGAACGCUGGCGGCGUGCCUAAUACAUGCAAGUCGAGCGAAGUUUUUCUGGUGCUUGCACUAGAAAAACUUAGCGGCGAACGGGUGAGUAACACGUAAAGAACCUGCCUCAUAGACUGGGACAACUAUUGGAAACGAUAGCUAAUACCGGAUAACAGUAUUUCUCGCAUGAGAGAUAUUUAAAAGUUGGUUAUGCUAACACUAUGAGAUGGCUUUGCGGUGCAUUAGCUAGUUGGUGGGGUAAAGGCCCACCAAGGCGACGAUGCAUAGCCGACCUGAGAGGGUGAUCGGCCACACUGGGACUGAGACACGGCCCAGACUCCUACGGGAGGCAGCAGUAGGGAAUCUUCCGCAAUGGGCGAAAGCCUGACGGAGCAACGCCGCGUGAGUGAAGAAGGAUUUCGGUUCGUAAAGCUCUGUUGUUAGGGAAGAAAUGGAUAUGUAGUAACUAUACAUAUAAAGAG
rnacentral:rRNA from 1 species